UAUGGCCAUAUCAAGCUGAAACACCGGUUCCCGUACGAUCACCGUUAAGCAACGUCGAUCCUGGUCUGUACCUAGAUCGGUGACCGCUUGGGAAUACCAGGUUCUGUAAG